CCGUGUGAGAGUAUUAAACAGUGUUUGUUCAUCAAAGCUUAAUCGGAGAAGAGAAUCACCGCACAAAGUUUGACAGGUAAACCAUCUACACCGUAGAACCCUUGCCCGGUAUUAAUCUUCACCGCAUACCAUUUGAGCGGUGUUCAUAUUCACCGCACGCUACUUGACCGGAUUUCAACCGGUAUUCAUCUACACCGGUCAAYACUUGAUCGGAUUAAGGUUCUGACUCGUUAGCAGGUUAAGGUAAACCGUUUCCUUCUUGAUCGGAUUCAUUGAGCGGUUUAAGAUACACCGGAUACCAUAUCAUCGGAUUCACAUCAGGUAAGUAUUUAGGUUUUCAAUCUUGAGUGAUUUUCAAUCUGUGUGCGAUUUAGUUUUAAUAUUGAGCGGUUUAGGACGGACUUGUGCAUCGAAGUUUUUGAGCGGACUUCUAAUCCACUUGAUUUUUUUUUUUACCCAGAAUCUAAAUUGCUCUUUGUUUCUUGAUUCAUUCUUAUAAAUCACUCAAUACCUUGAACAUCUUGACAAGAUUCGAUUGUUUUUUGGUUUGAUUGAUUAAUCUGUUUUGGGUUGAAACAGAAGUUGUGCAGGUUGUUUAGAACAAGAAAUUUAGAACAAGCAACCAGAUUCCAUUUCUUCCUAAUUGAUCACUAUCUUAGACACAUUCCAGCAACACAGGUACAUUUUUCUAAAUAUCUGUGUUUGUGAACUUGAAGACUGGAAUAGAAUUAGCCAUAAAUGCAACAGUUGACAGCAAGGUUAGGUACUUUUCUUGAGUAAUUGGUUGAUUGUAGGUUAUCUUGGUUAAAUUGAGAAGGAUUUGCAGGUUGUUAUGUGUUCUGUGCAUGUUAGUUGUAUGAUUAAGACUCAGUUUUAACAACAAGUUUUAACAACAAUUAUUUCACUUUGGGACUUUGUGUGUUAAGUUUGCUGUUUGUGCUAUUUUAACAGGUUUAACAGGUUCAACAGCAGGUACAGGCUGUUUGUGUGUUAAUUCACUUUAGACUAUGCAGAAUGCUAAAGUGUGCUUGCUGUCAUUUUAGAUUGUUUUAAGACAGCAACUUUCAUUUUGACAGCUUCAUUUUCUGUUUUGACAGCAACAACAGGAUCUGUUUUGCAUUUUGUGCUGUGUUUGUGUUUCGAAAGAAAACAGCAAGCAGUUCUGUGUGGUUGUGUUUAAAAUUUGAAACAAGAAGUGAUGUGCAGGAUUGUGUAGGACAGUGUUGUAUUGUACAACAGCAAAUAUAGUAAAUUCUUCAUUGUCUUACAGAAUUGCUGCUGUUGACUUAAUUGAUUUUGUGCUGUGAUUUUAAUUGACUGUAACAGCAACACAGACUUCAUCUUUCUCACACAUUUGUUACAUUUUGACUUAACAGCAACAGCAUACACAACAGCAAUAAAGUGUGCAGAUCUUGACAGCAAGAAGAAAGAAAACAACAGUGAGCAGCUUCAUCUUAACAACAAAACAGCACAGAGUACAGGUUCACAGCAGUAGUGUUUUCACUUCAAGGCCAACAGAAGUAAAACCAGAGGAGCCAGUUUGCUGAUACAAGUUCAACAACCAUUAAUUUGAACGAAAAAGCAGAGUAGAGGCAAUUCAAGCAGUGACAGAUUUAGACAGGUUUAAAUCAGAUGCUUUGAAGGAGAAGCUGUUUUGAGUAUAUGUGACAGUUUGAACAAUGAUAAACAGCAGCUGUGUUGUGUUGGUGUAGAGAAGAAGAAAGCAGCAAAUGUCUGUUUUUGACAGAAGAAGACUAACAGCACAACAAAGCAGGAACUGUUGAUAUUUGCUGGAGUUUUGACAGUAACAGCAACAUUGAAGCUGUUUACAGAUCUUGACAGCGGCAGCUGUUCAUAGCUUGGAACCUGUUAAACUCUAUUGCAAGAAGAGGAACUGAAACAGCAACUUCAACAACAUUGUGACAGCAGCAACAUCGUUUGUGUUUGGAACAGCAGCUGUGCUACUGUUUUGAGAAAACAGCUCCACAGCAACAGUUUCACAGUAACAGCAGGUUCACAGCAGUAACAGCUUCACAGAACAGCAACAGUCUGCAACUUCACAGCAGGAUCAUCACAACUUUACAGCAGGUUCAUCACAGGUUUGAAGCAGUAUGGAAGCAAACUGUUGAGCAGACUGUGUUAAGCAAAUGUGCAUUGGUUUAACAUUGUUUUGUGAUUUGUUUUGGAAAAUACUAAACAGCAAGGUGUGAUCAACUAACAGCUGUUUUGAAACAGCAGUGUGCAGGAUUAAGCAGCAACUCCAUAGCUCCACAGGUUUUGACAGCAAUUUUGGAUUUGAAGCAUAUCAGAACAAGUCACCGCAGCUCGUGUGAAGCAACUGAUAAGUGGAGCAUAAUCGUGGAUUUUUGAAUACACUUCAGAGAGCAGAUAGAUCA